UACGAAGGUAGCGAGCGUUGUUCGGAAUUACUGGGCGUAAAGCGCACGUAGGCGGAUUAGUAAGUCAGGGGUGAAAUCCCGGGGCUCAACCUCGGAACUGCCUUUGAUACUGCUGAUCUCGAGGCCGGAAGGGGAGAGUGGAAUUCCUGGUGUAGGGGUGAAAUUCGUAGAUAUUAGGAAGAACUCCGGUGGCGAAGGCGGCUCACUGGUCCGGUACUGACGCUGAGGUGCGAAAGCUUGGGGAGCAAACAGG
rnacentral:rRNA from 1 species